GCUUAGCUCUAAACAAUUGCGUGGUCUGCCUUCCAAGCCCUUGAGCUUUCAAUGUGACUUGCGGCCGUUAAAUUCGCUCGCAUCUAUCAUCUCUCUAUUACUUGUUUCCUUCUCUUCCCCAACUCUUCUGUAACCUUACCCUUUUAUCCCAACUUUAAACUUUUCUUCUUGUCUAACACUUUCAUUUCUCACUCUCAAUCUGCCAUAAGGUAACUGAACAUGGUGAUGAUGGGAUUGGAGAGGUUGAUGGUGACCUUAAAAUCAAAGAUAAGGUCUCUGAAGAUGAAGAAACCAUAUGAUAAGAUAGACAAAAGUGAAAGUAUGAGAGUUGAGAUAAGAAGCAGGAAGGCCAGGAAGCUUAUUGAAGAAACCUUGAAAGUUGCAGAUUCACCAAAGAGCAAGACUUACGCUUUUUGAGUGUCCGAAUAUAAAAAAAAACAGUUAAAACAGUAAGUUAACAGGGUCUUUAUGCCCUGUUUUGAUGCUUCAUCAACUAUGGUUUAUAGAAUAUGAAUGUUUAAGCCACUUAGUUGCCUUAGAUAUGGUGUAUACAUCUUGUCCCUGUUUUUUCUCUU